rnacentral:rRNA from 1 species
ACGGAGGCAGCAGUGAGGAAUAUUGGUCAAUGGAGGCAACUCUGAACCAGCCAUCUCGCGUGAAGGAAUACGGCCCUACGGGUCUUAAACUUCUUUUAUAGGGGGAUAAAGUGAGGCAUGCAUGCCUUUUUGUAGGUACCCUAUGAAUAAGCAUCGGCUAACUCCGUGCCAGCAGCCGCGGUAAUACGGAGGAUGCGAGCGUUAUCCGGAUUUAUUGGGUUUAAAGGGUGCGCAGGCGGCACGUUAAGUCAGCGGUGAAAUGUCGGGGCUCAACCCGGGCACUGCCGUUGAAACUGGCGAGCUUGAGUACGGAUGAAGUCGGCGGAAUGUGACGUGUAGCGGUGAAAUGCUUAGAUAUGUCACAGAACCCCGAUUGCGAAGGCAGCUUACCAGGAUACAACUGACGCUGAGGCACGAAAGCGUGGGUAUCAAACAGGAUUAGAUACCCUGGUA